rnacentral:rRNA from 1 species
GACCUCAAAUCAGGUAGGGCUACCCGCUGAACUUAAGCAUAUCAAUAAGCGGAGGAAAAGAAACUAACAAGGAUUCCCCUAGUAACGGCGAGCGAACCGGGAUGAGCUCAAAUUUGAAAUCUGGCGCCCUCCGGACGUCCGAGUUGUAAUCUAUAGAAGCGUUUUCCGUGCCGGACCGUGUCCAAGUCCCUUGGAACAGGGUAUCAAAGAGGGUGACAAUCCCGUACUUGACACGACGACCGGCGCUCUGUGAUACGUUCUCUACGAGUCGAGUUGUUUGGGAAUGCAGCUCAAAACGGGUGGUAAAUUCCAUCUAAAGCUAAAUAUUGGCGAGAGACCGAUAGCGAACAAGUACCGUGAGGGAAAGAUGAAAAGCAC